GGCCGAGGUUUAGCUGUGCCCUAGCUCUGAGCAUUUCUUUCUCCUCAGAGCAUUGGUGAUACGAUAUUGUGAUAGAAAGAUCCUUGAUACAACAGAUCGGCGAUAUUAGAGCAGCAAACAACCCUUCAUUGGCAACAAGAAUGGUUGUGAAUUGAGGACUUUGACGCGAGACGCGUAUCUCGACGUCGUGUUUGAGUCAGAUUGGAC